GGAGAGGUGCCUGAGUGGCUGAAAGGGGCACCCUGCUAAGGUGCUAGCCGGGAAACCGGCUCGAGGGUUCGAAUCCCUUCCUCUCCUCCA
rnacentral:tRNA from 1 species